rnacentral:rRNA from 1 species
UACGUAGGGUGCGAGCGUUGUCCGGAAUUAUUGGGCGUAAAGAGCUCGUAGGCGGUUUGUUGCGUCGGCCGUGAAAACCUGCAGCUUAACUGUGGGCCUGCGGCCGAUACGGGCAGACUUGAGUUCGGUAGGGGAGACUGGAAUUCCUGGUGUAGCGGUGAAAUGCGUAGAUAUCUGGAGGAACACCGGUGGCGAAGGCGGCAUCCUGGACCAAUAUUGACGCUGAGGAGCGAAAGCUAGGGGAGCAAACGGG